AAGUCGUAACAAGGUUUCCGUAGGUGAACCUGCGGAAGGAUCAUUAAAAAAAAUCAUUUAUCCGGGAAUUUGUAUUCAAAUCGCUCUCUAAAUAAAUAAAUAAAACAUUUUUUUAUAUAAUAAACUAAAGCAAACUUUCAACAACGGAUCUCUCGGCUCUC
rnacentral:misc_RNA from 1 species